rnacentral:lncRNA from 1 species
UGCAGGGGCAGUAACUGCCACAGCCUCUCACGGUUUCCCUGCUUGGCCUCCCUUCCAGGCAAACCAUCCCCAGCUGUGAGGUGUGAUUGGGGUGACUUUAAAUUUGUACAAAAAUUACCAAUGUUAAAGACACAUUGUCAUCAGUCUCCCUAAAGUCAGAAUGACCAUGAAACAUUUCGAAUCAGCUCAGGACAUCAAGGCAGCCAUGACAGUGCAACUGAAGACCCUCGUGAAAGAGGACUUCCAGACCUGCUUCGGAGAAUGGCAAGAAAGCGGGAUAAGUACAUUCAAACUCGUAUACCAGUGGGCGCAUAAAAGGAAAGCAAAGAGCCCAGCGACAAGAAAGGACAUUUCCUGAGAGCUGUUGUGUCUGACAGUUGUCCUAUGGAUGUCCCCAGAGGCCCCACAAUGUGCGGAUGGCUGACACGGUGGGGUGCACUCCGACCUUCAGACCAGGGGAGCAGCAUGGGCAAGGCCGUGUAGAAAGUCACAGCCCACUCUGUCCUUAGCAUCUCGCAGCGUCGUGUAACACUGCAGGCCAGAGCUCUGGCGUCCCUCAGACCUGAGUUCGAAAUGUGCCCUGCCACUUCGUAUGCGUGACUGGCAAGUGACAUGCCUCCUCUGAGCCAGCAUGCCCUGCUGUAAAAAUGGGCACGGCAGUAGCAAAUACCUUUGUGGCAAGAAUCCAGUGAUCCCUGGCUAGUGAACGAGCUGGCACUGCCCUGUGGCCCGUGCCAAGGGCUUGGGACCCAAUCGCUGUGGGUUUUACCACUUUCCCCACGUGCCACAGCAGGCUCUGCUCCUACCCAACACUGAGCUCUGGCUGCUGGUUGCUCAGCCUCCUGGAAACCUGGGGCUUCAGGCCUGACCCCUGCCUGGGCCAGUCUUGGCCUUGGGGUGACUUCUGCUGAGGCCUGCUGUGGCCUAGAAGUCCUGCACCGUGGGGGUGGUGCCCUGCUGCAUCCCGUUGUGCUGGGGCAAGGCUCAGGUCUCCAGAGCCUCUCGCCAUGCAGGUUGGAGCCAGUCACCGAGCCCGUGCUCAUCUGCUAAUGGGAAGAGAAUGCCUUCCCGGACCGCCCUAGGGCCUGGGAAAGGGGGGUGAAGGCGUGGCGAGCACUGGCCGAGCGGCUGCCCCACCAUUAAGGACGCCGGGCACAGGUCUUUGGGGUAAGGUGUCUCAGUCACUGUAGUCAGAGCUCACUGAGGAUUUUCCAUUAAUGGUCUUAUCAGCAACUGAACAAGGCCACUCUUUUUCUUACCUGAUGACAGUGGCUUUCAUGGUGAGGGGAAUCCGAGAGUGAGGGGCAGCUUCCCUGGAGUGCUGCUCAACCUGCCCUUGAGCUUUCUUCCUGUCUUCCUGGUAAAUCUCCGUCCAAGUCUCUCCCUAUCUGACGUGCAGACAUUUCGGUGCCUCGGAAAACCUGAUUAUUUCCUGAUUAGUCACUCGCCAGGGUUAAUUCACUUUCCCCAUUGAUCCCAGCUCCUCAGGAAGGGAGACUCUGCUCGCUUCGUAUUGGCCACUCUGAGGCUCCC